rnacentral:rRNA from 1 species
GGAAUAUUGGACAAUGGCCGGAAGGCUGAUCCAGCCAUGCCGCGUGAAGGAAGAAGGUCCUAUGGAUUGUAAACUUCUUUUGUACGGGAGCAAUAAGGUAGUCGUGACUACCGAUGAGAGUACCGUACGAAUAAGCAUCGGCUAACUCCGUGCCAGCAGCCGCGGUAAUACGGAGGAUGCGAGCGUUAUCCGGAUUUAUUGGGUUUAAAGGGUGCGUAGGCGGCUGUUCAAGUCAGCGGUGAAAUGCAAGGGCCCAACCCUUGACGUGCCGUUGAAACUGAGUGGCUAGAAUGCGGAUGCUGUGGGAGGAAUGUGUAGUGUAGCGGUGAAAUGCAUAGAUAUUACACAGAACACCGAUUGCGAAGGCAUCUCACAAAUCCGCGAUUGACGCUGAGGCACGAAAGUGCGGGGAUCAAACA